UUCCAGACUCCUACGGGAGGCAGCAGUGAGGAAUAUUGGUCAAUGGCCGGAAGGCUGAACCAGCCAAGCCGCGUGAAGGAAGAAGGCGCCAAGCGUCGUAAACUUCUUUUGUCGGGGAACAAAGGGCGCCACGUGUGGCGUUGUGAGUGUACCCGAAGAAAAAGCAUCGGCUAACUCCGUGCCAGCAGCCGCGGUAAUACGUAGGUGGCAAGCGUUGUCCGGAAUUACUGGGUGUAAAGGGAGCGCAGGCGGGAAGCCAAGUCAGCUGUGAAAACUACGGGCUUAACUUGUAGACUGCAGUUGAAACUGGUUUUCUUGAGUGAAGUAGAGGUUGGCGGAAUUCCGAGUGUAGCGGUGAAAUGCGUAGAUAUUCGGAGGAACACCGGUGGCGAAGGCGGCCAACUGGGCUUUAACUGACGCUGAGGCUCGAAAGUGUGGGGAGCAAACAGGAUUAGAUACCCCUGUA
rnacentral:rRNA from 1 species